rnacentral:rRNA from 1 species
AUACGAGGGGUGCAAACGUUAUUCGGAAUCACUGGGUGUAAAGCGUGCGUAGACGGCAUGUCAAGCUUGUUGUUAAAUCUCUCGGCCUAACCGGGAGCUCGCGACGAGAACUGGCAAGCUAGAGGAUGGAAGAGAGAAGUGGAAUUCCCGGAGUAGCGGUAAAAUGCGUAGAUAUCGGGAGGAACACCGAUGGCGUAGGCAGCUUCUUGGUCCAUUCCUGACGUUGAGGUACGAAAGCGUGGGGAGCAAACAGGAUUAGAAACCCCAGUAGUCC